UACGGAGGAUGCAAGCGUUAUCCGGAAUUAUUGGGCGUAAAGCGUCCGCAGGUGGUUUAUCAAGUCUGCUGUCAAAGCGCGAGGCUUAACUUCGUAAAGGCAGUGGAAACUGAUAGACUGGAGUGCGGUAGAGGCAGAGGGAAUUCCCAGUGUAGCGGUGAAAUGCGUAGAGAUCCGGAGGAACCCCAGAGGCGAAGGCGGUGCCCUGGCGCGCAACUGACGCUCAGACACGACAGCAUGGGGAGCGAACCGG
rnacentral:rRNA from 1 species